rnacentral:misc_RNA from 1 species
AAGAGACGUUGCCCUUCGGGGUAUACCUCCCACCCUUUGUUUAUUGUACCUUUGUUGCUUUGGCGGGCCCGUCCUCGGACCACCGGCUUCUGCUGGUCAGUGCCCGCCAGAGGACCUAAAACUCUGUUUGUUAAUAUUGUCUGAGUACUAUAUAAUAGUUA